rnacentral:rRNA from 1 species
UACGUAGGGUGCGAGCGUUGUCCGGAAUUAUUGGGCGUAAAGAGCGUGUAGGCGGCCAGGCAGGUCUGUUGUGAAAACUGGAGGCUCAACUUCCAGACGUCGACAGAAACCGCUUGGCUAGAGUCCGGAAGAGGAGAGUGGAAUUCCUGGUGUAGCGGUGAAAUGCGUAGAUAUCCGGAGGAACACCGGUGGCGAAGGCGGCUCCUGGACCGACACUGACGGCUGAGGCGCGAAAGCUAGGGGAGCAAACGGG